rnacentral:rRNA from 1 species
GACAGAGGAUGCAAGCGUUAUCCGGAAUUAUUGGGCGUAAAGGGCGCGUAGGCGGCUGUACAAGUCAAAGGUGAAAUCCCUCGGCUCAACUGAGGAACUGCCUUUGAAACUGUACGGCUUGAGGCCGGGAGGGGGUAGCGGAAUUCCCAGUGUAGCGGUGAAAUGCGUAGAUACUGGGAGGAACACCAGUGGCGAAGGCGGCUACCUGGACCGGUUCUGACGCUGAGGCGCGAAAGCGUGGGUAGCAAACAGG